rnacentral:snRNA from 1 species
UUUUUAAAAUUGUCGGAAAAA